rnacentral:sRNA from 1 species
UCCCGAAGCUGGGCGCUCGGUGGAAGAGGACGACCAUCCCCGAUAGAGGAGGACCGUUCUUCGGUCAAGGGUAUACGAGUAGCUGCGCUCCCCUGCUAGAACCUCCAAACAAGCUCUCAAAAAGAUCUAGGAAUGGUAGAUU